UUAAAACCUCUCAACCCCGCUUUCUUUAUUGAAGGUUGUUUGGGCUUGGAUCGUGACGUUUGUCGGUGUAACAGCCGACUGCGUUGAAAUACAACAAGCUGAAUCAUCAAACUUGCGGCUUGACCUAUUGUUGUAACUUAAAUUCAAUAGGAACGCAUGAAAUUUGAACGAGCUUACCAUAAAUGUGUCGUAAAACCACACAAAGUGAUU
rnacentral:misc_RNA from 1 species